GGUGUGUGCACACCGUGAGUUUCGUGGGCACACCGCCACUGCGGGCCCUGUCGGAGUGCCGCAGGACGCUGCCUCGAGAUUUCAAAACCACCACGGCGAUCUACGGACACCGUACAACACUUAUUCGGACUUAGAAUCGCGUUUGAGAGUGUGCAGGAUUUCAUAGUGGAGCAGUUGAUAUAGGUGGGACCCCUGAAACGGAGUCUUGGCCAACGUUGCUUGGAAUUCGUGUCAAAACUAGAGUCGCUCUAGAAUUAUUUUUGUUAAAUAAAUGUACAUAGAUUUUUGUAUUAUUUUGAAAUUGUAAUUUUUGUAUAAGAAUAAAUAGGGACCUAAUAGUUUGUAAAA